GAACACAACAGGGGCCGAUCAGGGCCUCUAAAGCUUCAGCGGGUUAGAUACAGGCUGCCGAGGAGUCCUCAUGGUAUGUAAUAUACAGGUUCCUCCAGGCCCGGCAGACUCAGGAGGUUAGAUACAGGCUGCCGGAGGCCCUCAUGGUAUGUAAUAUACAGGUUCCUCCAGGCCCGGCAGACUCAGGAGGUUAGAUACAGGCUGCCGGGGGCCCUCAUGGUAUGUAAUAUACAGGUUCCUCCAGGCCCGGAAGACUCAGGAGGUUAGAUACAGGCUGCCGGGGGCCCUCAUGGUAUGUAAUAUACAGGUUCCUCCAGUCCCGGCAGACUCAGGAGGUUAGAUACAGGCUGCCGAGGAGUCCUCAUGGUAUGUAAUAUACAGGUUCCUCCAGUCCCGGCAGACUCAGGAGGUUAGAUACAGGCUGCCGGGGGCCCUCAUGGUAUGUAAUAUACAGGUUCCUCCAGGCCCGGAAGACUCAGGAGGUUAGAUACAGGCUGCCGGGGGCCCUCAUGGUAUGUAAUAUACAGGUUCCUCCAGGCUCGGCAGACUCAGGAGGUUAGAUACAGGCUGCCGGGGGCCCUCAUGGUAUGUAAUAUACAGGUUCCACCAGUCCCGGCAGACUCAGGGGGUUAGAUACAGGCUGCCGAGGAGUCCACAUGGUAUGUAAUAUACAGGUUCCUCCAGGCCCGGCAGACUCAGGAGGUUAGAUACAGGCUGCUGGGGGCCCUCAUGGUAUGUAAUAUACAGGUACCUCCAGGCCCGGCAGACUCAGGAGGUUAGAUACAAGCUGCCGAGGAGUCCACAUGGUAUGUAAUCUACAGGUACCUCCAGGCCCGGCAGACUCAGGAGGUUAGAUACAGGCUGCCGAGGGCCCUCAUGGUAUGUAAUAUACAGGUUCCUCCAGGCCCGGCAGACUCAGGAGGUUAGAUACAAGCUGCCGGGGGCCCUCAUGGUAUGUAAUCUACAGGUUCCUCCAGGCCCGGCAGACUCAGGAGGUUAGAUACAGGCUGCCGAGGAGUCCACAUGGUAUGUAAUAUACAGGUUCCUCUGAGUUUGGUGGAGCAGUCAUGGGGUGUGGAUGAUAAUGUCGCCGCGCUU